UCUAUGCACUUGUAAGUGUGCUGGAAAGUAUUGGAGGGAAUUACCGAGGGUGAGUAUAGGUUUUAAUAUUUCAUUGUCUUUAAAAAAUGAUUUCAUUAAAAUUCGAGGGUUUUAGGUUUCUAUGGUUUCGUCGUAGACAAAACAAGAGAAGGUGGAGAACCCAUCCAUUGCUAAGUCAUUCGUUCUGCCAUACUGUUGAAAUCUAUUGUUCCUCCUGAGUAACGAGUGUUGGCUUGGGUUAUUGGUUCAGAAGAGAAGUACUGCUGCUUGUCUUUUCCCUCAUUGGUCUAGGGUUUAGGGUUUAGAACCCAUCCUGUUUGUUUUUAUAAUGUUCAGUUGCAUUGGCUUAGUGGAGAAGGGGGCUUACAGUCUUAAGUUGGGAAAAAUCAAUUUGUGGCCUUAUGUGUAAAAUGCAAGUUUCUUGGAGGGAGAUAAAAGGGACUGGUGCUGUGCAGAUGCUGUAAGGCUGUACUCUGGGUCAUUUGGAUGGAGAGAAAUAAGUGAUAUUUAUUUUAGUUUGACAUAUUUUUUUAAUGUGAAGGGGAUGAAAAGGAGCUUUUGAGGGGAAAAGGUUCAAUUUUGGGAUCAACAUUUGACUAUUGGCAUAAGAAUGGGAGUUACUUUCGACCUCAGCUGAAUUACAGCAAACCAAUGUGGAAAUUCUAACUCUAGGGACUAAAAUUGUAAAUUGGCAUACAAUCUCUUGUUUGAAAUUUGAUUUCUAAAACUAAAUUUUUUGUUGUCCCAAAGAAAAAGUUAUCUGCCAUAUACAGACUUACACGUAGAAAAUAUGUGGUCAAAUUUUUUUACUUAUACUUUUUUUUUUUUUAACUAUUAUUGUGCCAUGGCUUUACAUCCAUAUGGAACUUAACUUUGCCGCUAAAGAAUUAUUUUACAUUACUUCUUGAUAGGUUCACAAAUGUGCCACUAUUUUGCAACAAUUGGCAGCAAUAUGCAGUUUAAGUGAGAGCACAACCGGCAAGGCUAUUCUUUGUUGGGAAUCUUUGCAUGGAUGGUUGCAGUCAGCGGUCCAGGCUCUUCCUGCUGAAUACCUGAAGCAAGGGGAACUUGAAACUUUAGUGCCGGUUUGGUCUAAGGCCCUUGCCGGUGCAGCCUCAGAUUAUAUCCAGAGCAGAAGUUGUGAUGGAGGGCAUAACAAUUAUGGUCACAUGCAAGGGAAAGGUGGAAGAGUUUUGAAGCGUUUAGUCCGUGAAUUUGCUGAUAGCCACCGCAAUAUUCCAAACUUGACUUGAUGACUGCACAAAUUUAGGUAUAUCAAUUUUUAUCUGCAGCUGAUUCGCUGUUGGGGCCUUAUGAUUCAUUGACAGCAGCUGGUACAAUACGUUGCAUUUGUAAAGUGCUGGGUUUUUUUCAGGCUUCCCAAUACGUAACUAAUUUUCUGUACAGCGAUCCUUGCCCAAUUUUGACAGGAACAAAGCAAGACGGGAUGAUUAUUCUGAUUGUUCUAAGUUUUUUUCAUGAUCAAGUUAGUCAAAAUAGGAUCAGCUCGAGAUGACAAUAUGAGCUUUGUAAAAAAAGAAAAAAGUGAGAUGAAAUCAUGAUUAUUACAAAUAGCAUAAUUGCAUAAA